rnacentral:rRNA from 1 species
UACGAGGGGGGCAAGCGUUGUUCGGAAUUAUUGGGCGUAAAGGGCGCGUAGGCGGCCAGGCGAGUGGAAGGUGAAAUCCCUCGGCUUAACCGAGGAACUGCCCUCCAAACUGCUUGGCUUGAGACCGGGAGAGGUGAGUGGAAUUCCCAGUGUAGCGGUGAAAUGCGUAGAUAUUGGGAGGAACACCAGUGGCGAAGGCGGCUCACUGGACCGGUACUGACGCUGAUGCGCGAAAGCGUGGGGAGCAAACGGG